rnacentral:miRNA from 10 species
GGCUUACACUUGGAACGCCUUCU